rnacentral:rRNA from 1 species
AAAAAUUUUUAAAUUAUAAUCUUACAGAAGAAAGAAAAUUAAGUAUUUUAGAAAGUUUGUAUUGAUAAAGAAAGUAGUUUAUAUAUCCGAGAGGAGAAAUAAACUAAAUUAAUAAAAUUUGUUAAUUAAGUUCUUUUUGUAUCAUGAUUUAUAAAGUGAAAAAAAAGAGUAUUUUUCCCGAAAACUUUAGAGCUACUAUUUUUAGGUUAAUUGUUGCAAAAAUUAAUUGGAGUUAAUAGUAGGAGUGAUAUGCUUUUCGAAAAGGUUGAUAGCUGGUUAGGAGGAAAAUAUAUUAAAGUGUAGAGGUGAUUGUGUUGAAGUCUAUAGGUAUUUGGUUAACUAUAUUCAAUAUCACUAUUGAGAUUCUCUGGGAGAAGCUAGGGAAUAAAUAUUAGUUUAGAAAAAUUAAGUAGGGUUUAAAGUGUCUAUCUUAUAAAAAGUUAGUAAUAAGGUUGUUUUUAUAAAGUGUUUAUUUAGUACCUUCUGGCUCUUAUUAAUAUUAUAAGUUUCAUAAGUAUAAAAUCAGUAGUUAUCAAAUAAUUUGGUAUAUAGCAGAUAAUGCUAAUAAAUUAAUUAAAAUAAUUACACUAACUUAAUAAAAUAGGUAAUAUUAAACUUGAGUAAGUAAUUUUUAGAUUUAAUUUUUAUAAGAUGAGGUAAUGGAAAUAUUCUUUUAAGGAACUCGACAAAUAAGUUCUUCGCCUGUUUAAUAAAAACAUGGCUUCUUGAUUUUUCUUAUAAGAAGUCGGGCCUGCCCGGUGAUAAUGAUUAAACGGUUGCGACGAGAGUUGUACUAAGGUAGCGCGAUAAGUUGUCUUUUAAUUGAAGAAUGGUAUGAAGGGUUUGACGCGGAACGAUUGUCUCUAAAGAAAAAAAUGAAGUUUCCUUUUAAAUGAAAAGGUUUAAGUAUAAUUAAAAGACGAGAAGACCCUGUCGAGCUUGAUUAGGUUAAGAACAAGUGCUAGGUUUAAAGAAAAUAAAGAAUAGAGAGGCUUUACUAAUAUUUAGACUUAGUAGUUUAUUAGCUGAAAAUUAGUUGGGGCAACUGGCUUUAAAAUAACAUAGCUAAGAAACUAAUGAUCCUUUUUGAAAGAAAAAUAGCAAAAGCUACCGCAGGGAUAACAGCGUAAUUUUUCUUGAGAAACCUUAUCGAGGGAAAAGUUUGCGACCUCGAUGUUGGAUUAGAAAAACUUCUUGGUGCAGAAGUCAAGAUAUGUAAGACUGUUCGUCUUUUUAUUUUCUACAUGAUCUGAGUUAAGACCGGCGUGAGCUAGGUCGGUUUCUAUCUUUAUUUUUUACUUCCAUUGUACGAAAGGAUCCGGAUGUAAAGUUUAACUUUUU